rnacentral:rRNA from 1 species
GUGCUCCCCCGUAAGGGCUCGAAAUGCUGGAACUGGGUCAAACCCGGAGAUUUGCGCCGAGGACAAGGUGAGCCCGCGCUGAUCGCCGGUAUCACGCGCCGGAUCAUGCGCGACUACGCCGUCGACGAGAGGCGCGUCUAUGUCGCCGGCCUCUCCGCCGGUGGAGCAGCGGCCGCAAUCAUGAGCAAAGCUUACCCUGAUCUUUACGCGGCGGUCGGCGUCCAUUCCGGUCUCGCCUGCGGAGCAGCCAACGAUUUGCCUUCGGCGUUCGCCGCCAUGCGAGGAGGAAACAACCUCUCGGCCUGGACAACGCGUGAUGCGAACACGCGGAUCGUACCGACGAUCGUGUUCCAUGGAGACCAGGACACGACAGUAAGCCCGUGCAAUGGCGAUCAGGUUAUUGCUCAAUCGAGAGGCGCGGCCUCCACUCAGAAAUGGACAAGCGUGGAGAAUGCACAGGUUCCUCGCGGACACGCCUACAGCCGCAUGCUGUUUGCGGAUGCGGACGGCCGUUCCAUCCUAUAACAAUGGAUCAUUCCUGGCGCCAGCCAUGCUUGGUCGGGCGGAAUUCCGGCAGGAUCAACCGGAG